AAGACUUUAAGUUAAAUUAAACUAGGCGCCUUCAAAGCCCCCAAUAAAGAUAUUUUAAGUCUUG
rnacentral:tRNA from 1 species